AGGAAAUCCCUCUGUCAUCUGCCGCUGUUUGGGGCCAAAAGCUUGAACUGUGAUGAAUUUUGUGAAAGGGAGAACUGCCUCAUUCUGCCAAAGCCGUUCAGAAGUGAGUCACUAGCCCAGAACAGGCCCCACAUAGCUGCACCAGCUCAGACUCCAUCUAGCUGCACCUGCAGGAGCUAAGGCUCGAGGUGGACAUCGGGCCUGGGCCCCAGGGCAGAGUCAUGACCAACAGGGGGCAGCCCAGGGAGCUACUCCCCAGCCUUCAGUGGGCCCCACUUCCCUUCCCUCCUCCCCUCCCUGAAGGCCCCUCCCAGACCGCUUGGCCUCCGGCCUUGCCUCCUCCAACCUGAUCUCCUGGGGUUGCUCAAGGGUCUCCUCUAAAAAGCAAAUCCGGUCUUGUCUUUCCCCUGCCUGCCGCAUUCCGUGGCUCCUCACUGCUCUCAGGAGAAAGACCAAAGUCCCUGUGUGCUCCCAAGCCCUCUCCUGAUGAUGCAGAGGCGUGGCCCAUAGGGACUGAGAGCUGCUCACUUCAGGCAGAAGCCAGGCAUCCUGGCAGCCCCUGAGAGCCGCCCAGCUGGCCAGAAGGACCUGCUCCCAGGCCUCCCUUUCCCUGUAAUUCAUAUAUAGAAAGCAUCUAAAUCAGGAGCCAACCCUCCACCAGAGGGAGCGGCGCCCUGGAGGUGGAAGUGGAGCUUUUCUUAGUCAUUACAUUUGGUUUUGUUUUGGGGGAAAAAAACAAAAUGAAACAAUUAAGGUCUUAUUUUCACAAUCACCUGUGGAAUGAGGAGGCUUCCAGAUGGUAUUUGGUGAGAGCACCAGGAACCUUGUGGUCCUGUGAGGGCAUUCAGGGGUAGGGAGUCUAACUCAUCACCCAAUCCUCAUGGCUCCAACUUUAAACACACCCAGAAGCCUAUCUCGUCCCCCAGCCCAGCUCCGUCGCCUGCACCUGGUCCAAGCUGAGGCCCCUCUGCCCCAGCCUCCUGGUUGCCCCACUGUUUCUGCCCUGGGCCUGCUCCAGUCCCUUCUCACGGACAGCCAGAGCCAAGCCUCUGCUCCAGUAAGGGAUCUCUCCAAAGGCUCCUGUCUCCCUCCGGGUAAGGCCAGGGUCCUAAUCACGGCCCACAGAGGCCGACACCACCGCCUCUGACCUCCCUCCCUCUGUCUCCAGCUUUCCUGGGAUCCCGCCUGGGAUCCCCUCUGCCCAGCACUCAGACCUCCUGCACCAGCUGUUCCCCUGCCUGGAACAUUCUCCACUCCCCCCAGGUCCACAGGGUCUGAGCCUCAUGUCCUACAGAUGUCACUCAAAGGGUGGCCCUUCACUGGCUUCCCUGAUGGCACCACUUCCUGCCCACUGGUCCUUCUCCCCCUCCCUCACUCUGCCUCAUCUAGCCCUGGACACUCCACCAAUCUGAUACAUCUUUAUUUCUCUGUUUAUUGUCUAGUUUCCCUCCAUGCCCACCAGGAUGUAAGCUCUGAGAGCAGGGGCUUUGUUUCAUUCGCUGCCAUAAUUCCAGUACCAAGAACAAUGCCUGGCACCUCCUAGUAGGUGCUCAAUAAAUAUUUAUUGAAUGAAUGAAUGAUUGAAUUAUGUCUGUCAUUGACAGAGGGAAGUCUGGGCAACAUAGUGAGACCCCAUCUCUACCAAAACUAAAUAAUUAGCCAGGUGUGGUGGUGCAUGCCUGUAAUCCCAGCUACUCCAGAGGCUGAUACAGGAGGAUUGCUUGGUCCCAGGAGGUAGAGGCCACAGUGAGCCAUGAUCACACUGCUGCACUCCAGCCUAGGCAACAGAGAGAGAUAUAGUCUCAAAAAAAAAAAAAAAAAAAGGAAAAGAAAAAAAGAAAAGAAAAUACAUAGGGGUGGGCAGAUUUCCCCUAAGAUGCUCUAAGGAUGCCCUCUCUAGGUGCAGGAGUCAGUCUAAAGUUACCUCCUGGGGGAAGUCUUCUGUCCAGUUUUUAAAUGGAAGUUCUAGCUGCAGGCAGCAAGUCUCAUCACUGAAUAGAACCGGUUUUCAUUUGGUGCAAACACUAUCUCCUCCAGGAAGCCCUCCCAGGACCCUUCCCAGCCCCUAGUGAAAGUGCCUCCCUCCUGCUAGCCUGCCACUUUCUCCCUUGUGGUCCAUUCUGGAUGUCAGUGCCGGGCCAGUGAGCAUCCUAGCGGGCGCCUGAGUCAUACCCGGAGUGCACCUGGAGAGCCCCUUUCUGCUCACACUUUACAGGGCCCCAUGCUGGCCUCAGACACGCCCAUCUUCUCAUUUAAGCCUUACAACAACCUUCCGAGGUAGUCAUCACCAUCCCCAUCUUACAGAUAAGGAAACUGCGGUCAGAGGCCACAGAGGUGACUUACCCGAGCCCCACACCUGGUGUCACAGUGGAGUGGAGCCUGGCUCCUUGGCCCUGAGUUCAGCCCCCAUCACAGCUGCCGAAUUCACAGUCAGUGCUCAACACGUGUUCACGUGUUUGGAGGACGAACCAAACCCGAGUUCUCGGGGCUCCCCAGCCAGCAUGAAGACCGUGUAACCACAGCACGCAUGGGCGGGCCGCUUGGCAAUGGCCAGGCUCAUGCUCUACUGAGCCCCUGGGGGUCACGACUCCCCUGCUGCUCUGUGCAGAGAAAGAAAAGGCAGUCACCUCUCUCUUCCCUCACUGGAAGACCUGGUGAGCAGGAAGUACAGGAUCGUUUUGAAUUCAGCAGAUUUUGAAUAAUGCCAGAUCAGGAGUGGAUCUCUGGGGUAAGAUGCAAUGGUCCCACACACUUAUAUGUCACCAGAGUCCACUCUUUGGGGAACAGCAAUUUGACGGAACAUGUCAAGAGCUUGUGAAAAUAAGUAAUUCACAUUCGACCUGUUACCCAGAAAAAAACCGGGGUUCAUUCACCUGGUGAAUCUCAAACGGCUCUCCACGAGAACGCAGGUUUGGAUCAGUAGGAGUUUUAUGACUCGCCACAGUCCUUGGAGGGACUCUCUGGAAUUUCCUUAUCUGACCUAGAAAGUGUCUUGCCAAAAGAAACACAUUUGCCUUCUGUCCGUCUGAUACCCCAUUAUCCACUGCAGAAAAGAAGCCGGAAGAAAAGAAGUCAGAAGUCCAACCACAGCUGGAUGGACUUUUCCACAACAUAAUGUCUGCCUCUCAGACUCAUUCCAUUCACAAGUUGAUUUCUGUCUCCCUGAUCCAUUCAUUCUCCUUAAUAAUCAUUUACUGCUCCUCAAAACAAUGCUCUAUGUUUCCCAUCUCCUCGCUCCCCUGGGAAAAAGAGUACAUAAGCUUCUGUACCCCAUUGGGGGAUUGGGGUAAUCACACUGUAAUUCUCUCCCAUGAAUGUUAAUAAAUGUGUAUCCUUUUUCUCCUACUAAUCUGCCUUUUGUCAGGUGAUUUUCAGUGAACCUUCAGAAGGAAAAGGGGAAGUUUUCCCUUCACCCAUAUGCAGGCAUGUAAAGAUGUUCAUUGCAGUGCUGUUUAUAGCAGAGAAAAUGGCAAACACAAUCAAACAAUAGGGGGAUAGUUAAGAAAAAAAUGCACAGUUGCAGUUAGACUGGUCUCUACCGGCAGGGAGGUUUUUUUUCACCCUUUUUGAUUCUCACAGCAGCCCUAUGAUGUAGACAAAACCGGGUUCACAUUUAUUCUCCCCAUUAUUCAUGGGGGUGGGGGCCAGGAUGCAGACUGAGUUUUGAGAAAUUCUGGGCAGAGCUUCCAACAGGGAAUCAGAUUCUGAACUGGGACAGCUCCCAGGUGUCCUAAAGCGGAAUCCAGAGCUGACUCACAGCAGCGUGUGUCUGACAGGGGGAUCCAGCGGCAAGUCCCUACUCUUGGAUAAAGAUGAAACCACCUUUGCGAAAAUUAUGACAGAGGCCGGGCACGGUGGCUCACACCUGUUAUCCCAGCACUUUGGGAGGCCAAGGCAG
rnacentral:lncRNA from 10 species